GCUCAGGCUGUUUGCAUUCUCCGGUGAAGUCGAGGACGAUAACCACCGCCGGAGUGCUUGAUUUGAGUCAAGAUUCGAGAAUGUUUAAGAUUCUUCUAUACUACGUUUUGUUCUAAUGUGAAAUUGCCUACAUGUUAUCAAAAAAAAAAUUUUAACCCCUGCCAAUUUUCUCACUAGACAUAUAAAAUUAUCAAAAUUCUUCGGUCCG
rnacentral:lncRNA from 1 species